UACGUAGGGCGCAAGCGUUGUCCGGAAUUAUUGGGCGUAAAGAGCUCGUAGGCGGCUUGUCACGUCGGGUGUGAAAGCUCGGGGCUUAACCCCGGGUCUGCAUUCGAUACGGGCUGGCUGGAGUGUGGUAGGGGAGAUCGGAAUUCCUGGUGUAGCGGUGAAAUGCGUAGAGAUCCGGAGGAACACCAGUGGCGAAGGCGACACGCUGGGCCGUACCUGACACUGAUACGCGACAGCAUGGGGAGCGAACGGG
rnacentral:rRNA from 1 species